rnacentral:rRNA from 1 species
ACGCAGCGAAAUGCGAUACCUAGUGUGAAUUGCAGAAUUCCGUGAAUCAUCGAGUUUUUGAACGCAAGUUGCGCCCGAGGCUCGUCCGAGGGCAUGCCUGCCUGAGCGUCCCC